AUUGAACGCUGGCGGCAUGCUUUACACAUGCAAGUCGAACGGUAACAGGGUGCUUGCACCGCUGACGAGUGGCGAACGGGUGAGUAAUGCGUCGGAACGUGCCGAGUAGUGGGGGAUAACGCAUCGAAAGGUGUGCUAAUACCGCAUACGUACUGAGGUAGAAAGUGGGGGACCUUCGGGCCUCACGCUAUUCGAGCGGCCGACGUCUGAUUAGCUAGUUGGUGAGGUAAAGGCUCACCAAGGCGACGAUCAGUAGCGGGUCUGAGAGGAUGUUCCGCCACACGGGGACUGAGACACGGCCCAGACUCCUACGGGAGGCAGCAGUGGGGAAUUUUGGACAAUGGGCGCAAGCCUGAUCCAGCCAUGCCGCGUGUCUGAAGAAGGCCUUCGGGUUGUAAAGGACUUUUGUCCGGGAGCAAAUACCCAGUGCUAAUAACGCUGGGGGCUGAGAGUACCGGAAGAAUAAGCACCGGCUAACUACGUGCCAGCAGCCGCGGUAA
rnacentral:rRNA from 1 species